rnacentral:rRNA from 1 species
CGGGACGGGUGAGUAACGCGUGGAAAACCUGCCGUAUACUGGGGGAUAGCACUUAGAAAUAGGUGCUAAUACCGCAUAAGCGCACAGCUUCGCAUGAAGCGGUGUGAAAAACUCUGGUGGUAUACGAUGGUUCCGCGUCUGAUUAGCUAGUUGGUGGGGUAAUGGCCUACCAAGGCAACGAUCAGUAGCCGGCCUGAGAGGGUGAACGGCCACAUUGGGACUGAGACACGGCCCAAACUCCUACGGAAGGCAGCAG